rnacentral:rRNA from 1 species
UACGGAGGGGCGAGCGUUGUUCGGAAUUACUGGGCGUAAAGGGCGCGUAGGCGGCCCAUCAAGUUAGGCGUGAAAGCCCCGGGCUCAACCUGGGAAUUGCGUUUAAGACUGGUGAGCUAGAGUACGAGAGAGGAAAGUGGAAUUCCUAGUGUAGAGGUGAAAUUCGUAGAUAUUAGGAAGAACACCGGUGGCGAAGGCGACUUUCUGGCUCGUAACUGACGCUGAGGCGCG